CCUUGUGCUUAUUCUUAUGGAGACCUCAUGCUUCCCUUAGGCGUCCUGUGAGACAAUGUAGCUGCUCUUGGCACCUGACUGAACUGUGAAAAGUGUGGAAUGACAGACAGAAGGAAACAUGGAGCAUAUUAACUUCUUCCUAUCUCACAAAUGGGGAAACUGAAGCCUGGAGGGAGGAGACAAUUCCUCAAGGCUAUACAAUGAGUUAGAACAUGGAUCAAAUCCAACAAGUUUAAUUGAGAAACAAUUGACCUAUUAUAGGAAGAGGUUUUAACCAAAGAGAUCUAUCCAGAAACAGCCUCUGGGAAAACAUCUAUCAACCAGUUUACUCUCCAUAUCCAAUGCUACUCAGGUUUUCCUGAGCCAGGAAGGGGUUCUGUAGACCCCAUGGAACAAUUUUCACAUCUUGUAUAAGCACCGUGGAAAGAAGAGUCAGCGAAAGUAAUUCUUCAGGUUCAGGCCAGUUGUUAUCUCCUCCCUACUCCCUGUGUAACAUUGAUGUUCAGCUGUGGACAUUUGACAGACGUGCCCAAGAGCCGUCCUUGAUACUUACUGAUCUCCACAACAACAUUGCUACUGAAUAGUUUCUACCCGCAAGGCUUAACACCCAAGACUAGCAUCAUCUGGUCCUAAUACCUUUUCAAGGCUCGGAGGACAAAGGAGAUACAACUCAAAACUAACUUUUGUGCUGCAUCUUAAAAACCUUUAAACGAUUCUACAAACAUUCUCCCUCAUCCCCACCUCCUCACACCCCAGCUUUAAGACAGUGCCUGAGAGCUAAAAAUGGAAGAACGUGAGCUUCAACUGACCUAAAAAGUGAGAGAAAAGGAUGAGCUGAAAUGAAUGACAAGGAAAGACUGAAGCUUCCCUUCACCAAAUGUGGCCAGGGUACGUAAGUACAGAGCUGGCUGGAAGAAGUAGGCUGGACUAAAUGCCUUUCAAGGUCAUUUCCAAUCUUUACACAUUAUUUUGGAUGACAGAGGAGUACACAUGCUCACAUACACUGAAACUUUACCCCAAGUGUAUGAGAGUCUGAGGCACGGA